rnacentral:lncRNA from 1 species
AUUUAUUGGUGAGAUGUAUAAUGUGUUGGUUAAUUUUAGAUAACCUUAUCUUUGAUGAUUUAUUGAAUGAAGAAAUACUGUAUAGGUAUUGUUGAAUUAUGAUAUAUGUAUUAAGCUUUAAUUACUGUUUUAUUGUUAUAUGAGAUUUAUGAAUCAAAUUUGUGGGCCAGUCAAAGUUUGUAAUGAUAAGAUUACUUUGUUGUUAUUUUUCUGUUGUUGCUGCCAACUUUCCUUCUUAUGGAGGGAUUCCUCCAUGAGAGGUUUUGACCUAACCGUUAUAAAACUCAAUUAUUUAGAUUUUAAAAUACUUUAGAAAAAAGGCAUUCAGAGGAGUAAUAAAGUACAUAUUUAACACAUGUAUACUCAUUCUUAACCAUGGAUAUUAUAAUUUAAAAGUACACUAAUGGCAUGAAUAAGUAUGCUUAAAAUCCCCAAUGGAGAUUUUGAAAAGUUGGCAGGUAUGUUACUAAUAAACAUUUUAUAAGUAAAUGAACAAAAUAUACUUGUUCUUAUUUCAUAAACACAAUUUUCGGUGAAUUCUUUUGUUGGCAGUGUUAUUGGAAAAAAUAUAGCUACUGAUAUAUGAACAUUAUUUUUGGAAAAUGACGCAGUCAUUGUUCCAUUACUGGCGACCUGAACUUCAUUACAUUUCUCUGCCUACCGCGCUUGGUUUCGUAUUUACUAUUUUCUAUACAAACU